GCUUUGGUUGCCUAGUGGUUGGAUUGUUCGCCUCAGAUGCGAAAGGUCGCGGUUUCGAACCCCGUACGAGUCA